rnacentral:rRNA from 1 species
AUUGAACGCUGGCGGCAGGCUUAACACAUGCAAGUCGAGCGGAGUGAUGGUGCUUGCACUAUCACUUAGCGGCGGACGGGUGAGUAAUGCUUAGGAAUCUGCCUAUUAGUGGGGGACAACAUCUCGAAAGGGAUGCUAAUACCGCAUACGUCCUACGGGAGAAAGCAGGGGAUCACUUGUGACCUUGCGCUAAUAGAUGAGCCUAAGUCGGAGUAGCUAGUUGGUGGGGUAAAGGCCUACCAAGGCGACGAUCUGUAGCGGGUCUGAGAGGAUGAUCCGCCACACUGGGACUGAGACACGGCCCAGACUCCUACGGGAGGCAGCAGUGGGGAAUAUUGGACAAUGGGGGGAACCCUGAUCCAGCCAUGCCGCGUGUGUGAAGAAGGCCUUAUGGUUGUAAAGCACUUUAAGCGAGGAGGAGGCUUACCUAGUUAAUACCUGGGAUAAGUGGACGUUACUCGCAGAAUAAGCACCGGCUAACUCUGUGCCAGCAGCCGCCGUAA